rnacentral:rRNA from 13 species
AUGUGAAAGCCCACGGCUCAACCGUGGAGGGUCAUUGGAAACUGGAAAACUUGAGUGCAGAAGAGGAAAGUGGAAUUCCAUGUGUAGCGGUGAAAUGCGCAGAGAUAUGGAGGAACACCAGUGGCGAAGGCGACUUUCUGGUCUGUAACUGACGCUGAUGUGCGAAAGCGUGGGGAUCAAACAGGAUUAGAUACCCUGGUA